AAGACUGGCAAUGUAAGUUAAAUUUUCGCCAGACGACGGGUAGUAGGAGCCUUGAGCUAAGUCGCAGCCUGAGGUGCAGCUUCCAUGGACUUGUGAAGUUUGGACUGAGAAUAGGAUUGCGGUCCUAAGAAGCAGUAAUCGCGGAAUUAGUGUUCUUGAUUUGGAUGAGAAGAACAUGAUCGGAUUGAGACUUCUUUGCUGGUAGAAGAAGUUGGGACUAAGGGGGAAGAGAAGUAAGGGUGAGAAAUUUUGUGGGGCGUUGUCCAUUCUUUGUUUAGCAUUUCAAAUUAAUAAUAAUGUUUUCUUUUUUCUCUUCUAGAGAUAAUUUUGAAAAUAGUUCUCAAUCUUUGUUAUCCAAUCGAGUUGGAGAGGAAAAUUAAAUUUGAAGACGACAAUUGCACAAUAUAAUUAAUAGCAGUUUAUGCGCAUUUAAUAGAAAUUGGGAUGAACUUGAUUUAUUGUGUGAUGCUAUAAUUUUUUAGAUGACUUGGGCACCCUGUGUUGACAAAAAAAAAAAAAAAAAUCCUCCUAUGUUUAUCCACUUAGUGGAUCAUUAUUGUCCAUAUAUUUCUUUCAGUUCCUUGUUUGAAUGUUGGAGAUUUCAUUUUUUUUGUAACUUUAGAGAGUAGCAAUUUUGAUCUCCAAUAUUUAAAGGAUAGACUAAAAUGAUCCUUUAUGUUAUGCAAAAAUAAAUUUAGCUCCAUAUGUCUAAAAAAUGAAACAAUUUGACCUCAUAUUGGUUUGGACAAAAACUAACUCAUAAUCUUAAUAACUAAUCUAAUUUUUUACUACAAAAUGAAAGAGAAUAGAGGUUGGUGAUGUGGUGGUGGUUCACUGAGUCAUAGAAACAGUCAUAUUAAAGACAAAGCAGAGGUCGAUGUUGGUAGACUGAGUCAUAGAUUUCUAAAUGUCUUUUGCCUCAUAAAUUGCCCCACGUGCUAAGGAUAAACAAAAACUUGAAAAGUUAUAUGUUAGGUUAACCUCCGUUCUUGACAACUGAAUAAUGAUAAUAAUAAAAUAAAUAAAUUAAAUAGAAAAAUAUAAGAAUUUAUGUGGUUCGAUCGAAUUGACUUAUGUCCACGGAUGAAAGGAUAGUAGAUUUAUUAUAACAAAAAUAGAGUACACAAGAGAGAAUACAAAAUCUUAAGAAAUAAUUUCUAAGCUCAAGAGUGUUGGGAUAUGCAACUUUUCCUACAUAUUUUGCUAGAUUAUGUUUAAUAUCAAAAUAGUUUAGUUAUUAGAAAAAUAAGGAUAUUUGUUAACAAAAGAUCAUGUUGGUUUGUUAAUAGAUAUUUUAGAUAAGAUUUGCUAGUAGAAGGAGAUUAUAUUUUGUUGAAAUUUCUAGGAUAAUUGUUAGUGGGAUAUUUUGCUAGUUUGUUUCAUGUAAUCACUAUAAAUAGUGAGUUGAUGAAUGUAGAACAAUAAGCUCAUUUUCCACCUUCAAUACAAGUCUCUUAUAAGCUUUUUUUGCAACACUAAGGUGUUGUUUCUUAGUUCAUGCCCCAAAAAACCAACAAAGUGGUAUCAAGAGCCUAUAUCUUAAGGGCCUGAGUUUUUUUUUAGAGUGAUGCAUUGGUGAGGAUCCAUUAUAAGUUCAAGCCAUGACAGGAAAGAACUUUUUGUCAAAUGUUUCAACUUUUAGUGGUGAAAUUUACCAAAUUUGGGCCAUAAAAUUUUGGACUUAUUUGGUAGUCAAUGAUCUACGAGAUAUGGUAGAGACGAAUUUUGUUUCAUCAGUAUUUGAAGAGCUGAUGGAUACACAAAUUAGAGACCACAGAGUUGCAGUUAAACAGAGAUCCAAUGCCAGCAUUCACAUAUCAGUUUUUAAUGCCGUUUUCACAAAGAUAAUGGCUGAUGAUUUGAUUGAGAAUAAAUUAUUCUCAAUUAAAAUAAAAAGGAGAAGUUUCACUAUGAAUUGGUUAGAUUUUGACAAUUCUAAAGUGGAACAUGAUGAUGAAAUCAAGAAUUCAGAUCCUGAAAAAAUUCAGGAGGAGAUCAUUGAUAAGUCAAGAGAUAUCAAAUUGAUUCCUGAUAUUUAUCAAGAUUAUAACAUUUCUGUUUUUGAGUUUACAGAUUUUGAUGGUGAUGACAAAAUGAAGAACCAUGCAGAAUUUCAUAUUUUCUGUAUAGGUUCAAAUAUCGUCAAAAGAUGUUCCAUUUUAAACCUAUGAGAAGGUUAUUUGGAAACAUUAAAAAAAAAUCAUCUUUUAUGUGGAGUUUGGCAUGAGAAGACAAAAGAAAUGGUUCUUUGCAAGACUAAUAUUUAGCUUGCAUAAAAACCUAAAGGAAGAAGUUCAUUGCAAGGCUAAUCAUCAAUUGCAAAGCUUCUUACAAAAGUCUCAUCCAAAACAAGAUUCAAAAAUUUGAGAAGACAAUUCAAAAUCUACAGCAAAAGUGGCAAGGAGGAGUGUUGGGAUAUGCAACUUUUCCUACAUAUUUUGCUAGAUUAUGUUUAAUAUCAAAAUAGUUUAGUUAUUAGAAAAAUAAGGAUAUUUGUUAACAAAAGAUCAUGUUGGUUUGUUAACAGAUAUAUUAGAUAAGAUUUGCUAGUAGAAGGAGAUUAUAUUUUGUUGAGAUUUCUAGGAUAAUUGUUAGUGGGAUAUUUUGCUAGUUUGUUUCAUGUAAUCACUAUAAAUAGUGAGUUGAUGAAUGUAGAACAAUAAGCUCAUUUUCCACCUUCAAUACAAGUCUCUUAUAAGAUUUUUUUGCAACACUAAAGUGUUGUUUCUUAGUUCAUGCCCCAAAAAACCAACAAAGAGGCACCUAAAACUGAAAAUUAUCCAAUUGGCCCUUUAACUCUUUGUCUAGAUAAAAUUAAGCCCCUCAUCUAUUUUUUGCUGACUUUAAGCCCUCGAACUUGUAAAAUGAGAAAUCCGUGGCCCUUUUAGCCAGUUUCUCCGAUUUUGCAACCGGAUGACCAAUUCACACGAACGUCAUGUGCUUCUUUCAAGGGCAUUUUUGUCCUCAUAUUCUAAGCAAAAAGGGCACACACAGUCCACAUUUCUAUUUGAUUUCCCUCACCUCCCUUACUCUUCCCUGCGCAACCCCCACGCAAUCCCAUGGCCGUCUCUGUCACAUUCUCGGGGAUUGCUUCCAAAUUUUGCACAUCUAACAAAACCUCCCAGUCCAAAUUCCUAGAUACAUCUGCACUCUCCUCCCGGGGCAUCACCGGCAUGUCAUCAUCAUCCAGAAACAUGCUCAGAACCUCUCUCUCAUCAACUCCUUCAUCCACUUCCUCCCACUCAAAAUCCUCAUUAACUUCUCUAUGAUCCUUAAUCUGAAAAGAAUCCCAACAGAGCCUAAGGCUUGGAUCAUCAUCACCCUCACUUAUAUCAUCAUCGUCAGCACUAAAAUCAAUCUCAACGUCAUGGUUUAUAUCAGAAUCCGAUUCCGACCCGAUAUCCACGACUCGCAACCCGGUUACAAAAUGGUCCCCACCCUCAAAAUUUUCAGCUACGAACCCUGAAUUUUCCACAUUUGCCGAAGUGGGCUCUCCGAGAAACCCUAGAUUCAGAUCAAGAUCCAAAUGGGUCGGCUCCAUUCCGUCGUUUCCUUCAUGAAUCCCGAAAUUCGGGUCAGCAUCGGAAAUCUCCGGGUCAAUCACCACACAGGUUGUGGAGGACAAUUGGGACUGCUCAACUCGUUGGUGCAGGAGGUCCAUAACGAAAUUCACCUGAUUCUCGCGGUCGAAAAGAUCAGCGCUGGUGACAACCGAUUCGGGCUCCGACACGAUGUCGCUGGGGGGAUCAACCAAUAGCAUCGAUAUCGGAAGACCAGUAGGGAUCGAGAUGAUGGCGGUGGGGAUGGGUUUGAUGAUGAGAAAAAUCUACUUCUUCAAUGACGUCGUCUAGGCCAUCAUCGUCCUGGUGGAGUCUGAGUAGUUGAAGCAACGUCGUCUCAGCCAUUCUGUUUCAGCGGGGUGGGGAGAGUAGGAGGAAUAAAAGUGAGAAAGGAAACACCUUUUUUUCGAAAAUUAUUUUUUAUCUAAAAAUUCCCAUCUUUUUGCGUUUUCUUUUGUUUGAUAUUCUACAGCAUGGGGCAAGGGGGGUAGGUGAUCAGCAAUUUCCCCUUUUAUUUUCUCUCUCUUUUUUGACUAAAAAUGAGCACUUUUCCAGCUUCCUUCGGUGGAUUAUGUGUGCCCUUUUUGCUUAGAAUAUGAGGACAAAAAUGCCCUUGAAAGAAGCACAUGGCGUUCGUGUGAAUUGGUCAUCCGGUUGCAAAACCGGAGAAACUGGCUAAAAGAGCCACGGAUUUCCCAUUUUACAAGUUCGAGGGCUUAAAAUCAGCAAAAAAUAGAUGAGGGGCUUAAUUUUACCUAGACAAAGAGUUAAAGGGCCAAUUGGAUAAUUUGCCCAAGAAUCAAAUAAUAUAAAAGAUUUAUAUAUGCCUUUAUUUUCCAACAUUUCUUAAGACAAUUUCAACCCCGUAACGAUAGCAUAAUCCCUGCAUUCUUGGGAGACUUCCUUAACACAGACAGGGAAUUAAGGAGCACCUUUCUUUCCUGUUAGCUGUCCUGAAUCCAAUUCAACAAUAAUGCACUCUUCUCGAUUGAUGGGAAGGGAAGAACACAUUUCUUUCCUGUUUGCUGUCCUCCUGAUCCCAAUUCAAAGCUGCAUUGCCAAGUGUCAUUGAACUUGAUUUGCGACCUAAACAGUUUGUCGUGUCCCUGCCCUGCAUCAUCAAGCGAAAUUAAUCGCAUAAUUUCCCAACACCCCACCUCAAUUGUCAAGAUCAAGCACUUUCAUGAUGCCCCCUGUUAUUCAAAAUAUUGUGGAAAAAGGCACCCGCGGAAACGUGUUGUUAGUUCUUGUCUGGACCAAGAAUUUUGGACACUGUCAUCUGCCAGUGCUACCUAACCAUCGAUCCCAAAGUCCUUCCAUUCAUUGUCCAUCGUUGCUCAGAGAAUUGGAGCAAUAAGCAGCGACCCGCUAGGGAAUAGUUGCAGCAGUAAAAUGCUAAAUAGAACCGGUCAACAGCACUGGCCCUCUUGGAGGAUAUUUUAGCUUUAAAACCACUUUUUCAGAAAAUGUGAAUUCUCCUCUAUAUGUGAAAAACUAAAAGGUACUAGUCAAUUAGUGAUAACUAGAUUGGACUGCUGCAAAUGUUUAGGGUUUUCGUGAAAAAUUAUUAAUAUUAUAGCAAUGUGAUAUAUAUGGGAUAAAAAAUACUUUAAAAAAUUUUUUUUUUUUCACAAAAAAUGACAAUCAAAGUAGGCUUCACAAAAUUGCAACUAAGAUCAGAAAGGACAUCAAAUGAAAGAAUUUUUGUGCUCUGUGGCUUGCUUAAAAGCAAACAGUUUUGUUAAAGCGAUGUUGCCCUAGUUCUCUUGUUCAUCAUCAACACAAAGUCCACGUUUUGAGGGGGCAAAAAGAUAGUUCUAAUAACAUGCUUUGUUUUGUUGCUGUCAAAAAUACUCUAUAGGUAUGCAUUUUUCAUCAACAUGAUUAAUUGCAAGCGAUAGGAGUCGCAUGCCGGGUGAUUUGAUCCUCCAAAUAUGAGCCGGCAACUAGGAACUUCAAGUACCUGUGGUAGUCAACUCGCUCAAAUGUGAGUUGGUUGUCGAAUUACUAAUAAGUAAAAUAAGAUUAUCGAAAUAGUGUGUUUAGAUUGUCAAAUUAUUUCAAGUAAUAUUUCGCUUGCAUCAUAAACACAUUUCUCAAUUCGCAUUUUUAUAUUCCCAACUAUUUUUCAUCUCGUAUGCAUCACAUCAUGAAAAGUGCUACAGUAAUUAUUCCAAAUAAUAUUUCAAACAAUACUCUAUCCAAACACAUAUAAUUAUGUUUGAUUACUUCAAUAAUUAGUCAGCAAACUCAAAUCCAAAACCAAAACGAAUCCGCAAAAGAAUUGAGACUGAUUAUCUGCAGUGGCCACCCCUAACCUGAGGGCACGGCCUGCUUCUCACCUUCCUCUGUCUGCAAUUACCACUUGCAACACCCGCCAGUCAACAACGGGUACGUCCUUUUGUCCUAACCCACAGCUUGGUGAAACAAAGCAAGAAAAUAAUCAUCUACCCUGCACAUCUGAAAUUGUGACCUCGUUCACAGAACAAGAUUCUGGAUUUUGAGGUAACUUCGUCAUAAUUUCAGCAAAAGCUGGUCGCGUAGGAGUGGCAAGAGCCAUUGAUUCCUUGAGGAGCAUGGAUACCACGUCCGACAUUGUUGGUCUAUCUGCUGCAUUUUUUUGCACACACAAUAAACCAACGUGAACAUAUUUUAGUGCUUCACUUGUUGAGACCGUUUCAUCCAAACAAGAAUCUGUGAUUUCUGAAAUUCUUCCUUCUGUCCAUAGAUCCCAGACCUGGAACGUGACAAAUGAUCAUUCCCAAAUUACUGGACUGAAGGAAAUGACACAAGUACAACUGUGUUGUACAGGUUACUUACAUGUCCUAUUAAGUUCAGGUGACGAUCCGAAUCGUAGAACGAAGUGUUCUUCUUUCCAGUUAUGAUCUCAAGAAUCAUGACUCCAAAGCUAAAUACAUCGGACUUCUCGGAGUAAACCCCGUCCAUGGCAUAUUCAGGAGACAUAUAACCACUUUUUCUCUCGCAAAAAGUAAUCAUCUCAAUUAGCUUAAGCAUGAGAUUAGAGAUUGGACAUUACAGGUUGCAAAACAACAAAGAAGAAGAUAUUCCUUCAACUUACCAUGUCCCCACAAUGUUCAUUGUACUUCCGCGCAUUUCAUUCUCUCCAAAAAUUCUGGCGGUUCCAAAAUCUGAAAUUAUGGGAUUCAGGUCUGCGUCCAAUAAAACGUUGCUCGUUUUCAGAUCUCUGUGGAUGAUCUUUAAUCUAGAAUACUUGUGGAGGUACAAAAGCCCCUGAGCGACCCCUUCAAUGAUUUUCAACCUUCUUUUCCAAUCCAAUAUAUUCCGCUUUGCUGUAUCUGUAAGCAAGGCAGAUCCCAGUAUUUUGAUAGUUGUAAGCAUGUAACUUAGAUAAAUAAAUGAAGGUAAAUAGAGUUCUGACACAUACCAAAAAGUACUGAAUCUAGACUGUUAUUAGGCAAGUACUCGUAUACCAAUAAACGCUCUUCUUUGUCAAUGCAGGAGCCCAAAAGUCUAACAAGGUUUCGAUGUUGCAGCUUUGAGAUCACUUUGACUUCAUUCUUGAAUUGUUCAAUUCCAUGUCCUGACAUUCUAUUCAAUCUUUUAACUGCAAUCUCUAGUCCGUUAACCAGUUUACCCUGAACCAUGUAUUUACAUUAAAAUUAAGCAAAUAAAUAGGGUUUUUGGACUUAAAAGUUAAUCGUUUCAAGAAAUGUUUAAUUAGCUCACCUUGUAGACAGGACCAAAUCCUCCUUGACCAAGUUUGUUUUCCUCGGAAAAAUGAUCUGUGGCAAUUUCUAUGCUUGUAAAACUGAAGAACAGUGAUUCAUCAUCCCCUUUGUCAUCAAGAUCUGGCCUUUCUGGACCCAUGAAUUUUCGAAGGUUACCUUCUCUCUUCCGCAAUUUGCAACACCAGAAAAGUAAUGCAAGAGCUGCUAGAAAAGUCGCUACGGCAGCCCCAACAACCGAUAACUUCACCCACUGAUUGACGGCACCCCUGGCCUUGAAGUCUCGGCUGCCUUCAGCUAAGUCCGAAACAGCAAUAUGCGGGACGGAAACACCAUUUUCGGGAUAAGAAUUGAACCUCUUCAACCAAGCGGCACUGGUCAAAUUGGAAUAGGACCCUUUUGCGAUUGUAUCAAAAGUUGUUUGGGUUGACGACGUGACAUUGUAGCUGAAAACAUGGGCUAAAAAGUUGUUAUUGAUGCAGUCACAGGUAAAGGGUAUGUUAAUUCUGCCGGCAAAGACUUUAUCCCUGCCGGGAACUAUGCUGAUAUUGGCCCGGUUGCUGUCGGUUAUGCUUGCUGUUGGGAUGUUGAAAAGACUGGCAAUGUAAGUUAAAUUGUCGCCAGACGACGGGUAGUAGGAGCCUUGAGCUAAGUCGCAGCCUGAGGUGCAGCUUCCAUGGACUUGUGAAGUUUGGACUGAGAAUAGGAUUGCGGUCCUAAGAAGCAGUAAUCGCGGAAUUAGUGUUCUUGAUUUGGAUGAAAAGAACAUGAUCGGAUUGAGACUUCUUUGCUGGUAGAAGAAGUUGGGACUAAGGGGGAAGAGAAGUAAGGGUGAGAAAUUUUGUGGGGCGUUGUCCAUUCUUUGUUU
rnacentral:lncRNA from 1 species